rnacentral:lncRNA from 1 species
UAGUUCUAAUCCUAUGUAGCUAUGCUAAUCUAGAUGUCUAAUUGAUGUGGUGGCUCUAAUCUUGAUCAGGGGCUUCUUCUCCCUUGAGGAAUAAUAAAUUAUGGUUGAGAGGCUCUCUCCUCCAGGGGCGAGGGGCUCUGGUUUUAUAGUCCCUUCAAGUGAAUAUGGGCCGUUGGAUCAAACCGACAUUGAUUGAACGGUUAUCCUUGAUCCUUUAGGUCAGUGGAGAUCUUCCCCGAAACAGAAUCCUGAUUGGACUCAGCAGGAGGGCGGGCGCCCAGGGCGACUGGGCGGGCACCCAGUGCCUGGCCCCGUUCGGCCUCUGCUACCUUCCCGUGGCUUCUGGAGUCUUCUAGAUGUAAGAUAAUUGCACAGCACGUUAAUAUCUCUAUGUAAUCUCGACAUGUGGGCCUUACUUCCGUAUACCCUGAUAACCCCCUACAGAAAUAGACAAACACCAAAACUCGUAGAAUUCUGUCAGAUAAGACCCUAAGUCUAGAUGUUGAUUUCAUUUGGAUCCUUUUCUUUGUUUAUUUGAUAAUUAAAUUUGAUACUUAAGGACCGUCAACAAACUCCCCCAAGCUUACCUCUUGCUCGUCCCUGAGCAAGGAUAGACUCAGUAAUGGAUCAGAAGUUGUUGCAAUAUCUUUCAAAAUUGAUGGUACACAUGCUUUUAAAUAAGAUCUUAUCUCUGAGUUAGAGUAAACUGUCAAGACUUAAAACUUACUUACUUUACCUUACACCAUGGGACUUGUAACUGUCACUUCUGUCUGGAGUAGUUAAUAGAUAGAACAGUCUAGUCAAGUGCCAUGUCUCUUAUUCUUGAUCAGCUAUAGCUCUGAAGUUUUUGCAUAUUUUCAAAUAAAACUCAGAGAUUCCUUGUAUGACUCUCUCAAAUCUCUCUUUUGUGGUAUUUCUGGAUCCUUACCAAGGCAGUGAUGGUAUAUGCCUUCUCUCAUUGCCUUCUCUCUCUCACCCUACUCUAAUAAGGCUUUAAUAUCUGGAGCUCAUAGGUGGAAGAUAAAAUAUACAUACUUACAAGACAUUUAUUGCAUAGUCAAACCAUGGAUCCAAAGAAACAAAUCAAUAAGUCAAAUCAAGAUGUGCAUGUGUGGUGAAUGAAUGGUAUAUGGUGAUGAUGGUGAUAAUAAUGGUGAAAGUCUCAUUCUGCUUUUGCUCUUUUGAGAGGAUACAUACCUUCCUUGCUUUCUGAAACUUUUGAAGAGAAUGAGAUGCUCUAUAUUUUGUUUUUCUUUCCUCUUAGGUGGGUAUCGUAUACCCCUAAUUCUACUGUCAGACACUUGUCCAUUUUUACCUCUCAUCUCACUUUUUCUUUUCUUUCGAGGUUCCGGGCACUUGCCCCUUUUUAUUUCCUCGUAUACUUUUUUUCUUUCUUUUUUUCUCUUUUUUUAGAGCACUCAUCUCUUGAGAUAAUAUAGCAAGUGGUAGUAACAAGAUAACUUGAGCAUUUAUUUCACAAGGGAAAAACAGAAAUAUUUUUGGUUAUUCUCUCCCGGAUUAGGAGUAGAAUAUUUUUGGGUGAUUCUGGAGAUGGAAAUGGAUGGAUAUAUGUGGAUGGUACUUCCGGAAUAGAAGUAGCAUGUGUGAGUGAACAUGCAAGUUAAUCUUGAUUUAACCACAUGACAAGCUCCUAAGGGUCUACAAAGCUUGACCACACUCAAUGCUCAUAAGUAGUAAAUAGUAAAUAUGUGGCUCAAAGUCUAGCAAGCAUGUAUAUAUGGCUGUGGUAGGAAUUUUAACUCUCAUCAUACGGGAACUCAUUAUGCAACAUUUUAAAGAUUUUCAAAAAUAAAAUUCUCCAGAAUUCUAGCAUCUCUAGGAACAGAUAAACAGCAGCUCAACCUGCCCAUAUCAUAUCCGUUAACAACUUAGACUUCAGAUCAAGUUUUCAUCCCACAAGUUUAGGUCUAGAGGAGGCUUUAAAUUAUAACAGUUAUGUCUAAACUUGAGAGAGAACUUCAAAUUUUAAAAAUUAAGCAGAGCAACUAUUCAUCAUAUCCAUGAUAGAGUUUAUUAUUAAGAUUCAGAUUAGCAUAGCCACUUUAUUUAUUUAUUAAGCACACUAAGCAAAAGAUAUAUAUAUUUAUAUAAGCACAAAAUCUUUAUUUGUUUUUUUCCUAGUUUAUGUAUAUUUAUAUUCUAAUAUAAUGUAAGUAUAAAGAUAGGUAGAAAUACUUAUCGGGAUAAAUGGGGGUUCUCUCUCCCAAGCUGAAUUUUGACGUAAUUUCUCUUGAUGUAGCUAGCAGGUGGCAGAGGUGUAUUUGAAAGUCGGCAGCAUCCUGACGGCGAUUAGAAUGUCCUCCGUCUGCUAGUCUUCUUGAUUCUUGAAUUCUCUUGGCAAGGCGUUCGGUGUUUUUAAGUCCUCCGAAUAGGACUCUCCUCUUUCUCAAUUGUCCUGGGAUUCGUUGGAUGGCGGAGUCGGUACUUCCGGCAGCGCCUCUUCUUCAUGUAUAGUUAUCUUCUAUUUCCAUACCUGACUCGGUGCUUCGGUCUCCUCUGGAUAAUUUUGUUUAAACUGUACGUCUUCUAACCUUACAACUUCUCCUUCAUAGUCUACCCAUCCGUCCUUGAUGAUUUGCCUCCGCUGGUUGCGGUUGCGUCGUUUUCUUACCUGCUUAGAUUCUUCAACGAUAUAGUUAGGGUCAGUGAAAUAACAGCGUACCUUCUCUGAGGGGAAGUGCAUAUGGACUUCUCCGGUUCCAAUGUAGAUGAUUGCUUUAACAAUGCUGAGGAAUGGUCUUCCAAGGAUGAUGGGUGGAUCGUAUUCAUCUUCUCCCAUGUCAAUAACCUGAAAGUCUGUGUAGACAAAAUGAUCAUCUAUUUUGACUGGGACAUCAGUUACUGUACCUUUAACUUCUCGAAACGUCUGAUCUGCCAUCUGGACCUGAAUGUAUGUUGGUUUUAAGGGCAUGGUUCCGAACAAGAGCCGAUAGGUGACUGUGGCCAUUAUGUUGAUGCCUGAUCCGGUGUCGCAAAACGUCUUGUAGAAGCUGUAUCCAUUUAUGGAGCAGUAGAUGCUUCGCAUUCCUAGGUCGUCCUUCUUGGUCAGAAACGGUGACUUAAGUUGAUGAUCCUGACCUCCAUGAACUGCAGUGACCCUCUUAGCUGACUCGGUCCACACUUGCUUGUUCCUGUUCCUCCUGUUGGUCCUCUUCCUUGAUUCACGUCUGGAUUGAUCUGGGAUUUGUGUAGUCUUGUUCUUGAAGGAAAACGUCUCCUUCCUCCCUUUGAUGUAGAAACUGAACUUGGCAACACUGGCGUAGAUGACAGCUCCCGAGGUGUUUAAGAAUGGCCUCCCUAAGAUGAUGGGUGCCCUCUCAUCAUUACCGGUCUCUACCACUACGAAGUCUGUUGGGCAUACAAGGUACCAACUCGGACACAAAAAAGGUUCUUCAAUAUUCCUUUUGGAAAACUUAACGCCUGAUCUGCAAACUGCAAACACAUGGUUGUCUCUAAUAAAGGAUAUGUAAAGAAUUUUUCAUAGAGUACCCUGGUUAUAAUGUUGACGCAAGAGCCAAAGUGGCAGAGUGCUUCUGGGAUGUCCACCAUGCUGAUGGCGAUCGGGAUGGCGGGGCGUCCUGGAUCACCUCUCUUGACUGGCAGAAGGUCACUAGUAAAUUCAGUGACGGGGUUACUCCAGUUAUUACCUGCAUCAAACAUGUCUACAAGAUUUGCAUAUUCUAAUCCUUCCGGUUGUGAUGGUAUACCGGGGUUAGUAGUAGGAACAGCAACAACUAUUUGAUUUAACUGAGAUUCAAUCAUUUUAUUAAAGCUAAUUUGAUUCUUGAUGGCAGUAGAGAAAUUAUCCAUUCUGUUAUUUAUAUUUUCUAGCAUUUUAUCAUUAGAUGCCAAUUUCUUAGAUAGGUUAUCCAUUAGCUUUCCUUGAUUAGAUACUAACUCUCUCAAAGGUGGAAAAUUAUUAGUAUUGUUCUAAGAAUUAUUACCUUGAUAAUUACCUGAGUAGUUAGGCCUCUGUUGAUUCCAACCUUGAUUUUGUUGAGGACGGUUGUAGUAGUAGUUGUUGUUAUUGUUGAUGUAGUUCACAUCCUCAAGCAUCUCAGGGCAGUGGUUGCCUGAGUGUCCAGUGUCUCCACACUCCUCACAAGUCAUGUGAGAGUCGUAGAUGUGCAUAACUUCUUUCUUAUCUCCAGCUCUAUCAUCGAGCUUCUUCAUGAGCAGGUCUAGCUUUGCAGAUAGCAUGUCUACCUCCUUGAGCUGAUGCAUACCUCCACCUUUCUUGCGUGUCUGGGUCCUCUCUUCAUUCCAGCCUUGGUUGGACGCCAUCUUCUCCAUAAGAGCUGUGGCUUGUGAUAUGGUGAGUGAUAGGAAUGCCGAGCCCAUGAUAAAAUGUCUGCAUUAGUAGCCAACUCUCCAUUCCAUGAUGGGGACAUUCUAGGAUGUAGUCUUGGAAGCGCUCUCAUGCUUCUGGAACAGAUUCAUCAUGUUGUUGCUGAAAACUUGUAAUCUUCCCACGGAGAGAAUUGGUCUUGCCCAUGGGAAAGAACUUAGCCAGGAAGUUUGUUGAGCAGAGUGCCCACGUAGUAGUCUUCUCCUUUGUAGCGUAGAACCACUGCUUCGCUCUCCCUAACAGUGAGAAUGGGAAGAGGCGAAGUAGUAUAGCAUCUUUGGGGACUCCUGAUAUGGUAAAUGUGUUGCAAAUUUCUAGAAAGUGUUGGAGAUGAGCACUAGCAUCUUCGUGUGCCUUCCCACAGAACUGGUUGGAUUGCACCAUGUUGAUAAGUCCAGGCUUGAGCUCAAAGUUGCCAUCGAUCUCUGCAGCAGGUCCAGUGCGGAUGUUGUCCGUAGUGGGAGCUGAGAACUCGCGGAUUGAUUUGUUCGCCAUGGCUUCGAACUCUGAAGACAAGUUCCGGUGAUCUUCUUGAUUGGAUGAAGCUUCUUGCUGUAGUGUUGAUGAUCCCUUCUUGAGCUUGGCUCUUGUUUUUCUGAAUAAUGCUUCGGGAUUGUCAACAAAAUUUCCUGGAAGAUGUCUUCUAUUCAUACAUUCCCCUGCAUAAGAUAAAAAUAGAAAAUAUUGGGGUAAAACUGUAUGAGAGAAUAGAUAAGCUCAAUCAUAUUAGUGAUGCGAAUGAUAACUCAAAAAUCUAUAUCCAUUCCUGAUUAGUAAUCAACCUUCCCCGGCAACGGCACCAAAAAUGCUUGUUGGGUAUUCUUAACAUUAUUACCAAAAGUAGAUAGUUUUCUAAAUCUGAUAACGGUGCCAAAAAUACCAAACCUAUCUCUCAUACCACUUAAGCCAAGUUGUCAUCCCCAGCAUGACAUGAGAGACGCGGUAUUGAAAUAUGCAAUUGGUCUUCUAAAUAAAUAAUGAAUGGGAUCUGCAAGCGCACAGAUAAUACCGAUGUAGCAUUUUAACUGGGAAGUAUUCUAGGUAUCGUUAUUUAUAUUUUUACCACUAGGAAGGGAUUAGCAAUCAUCAAUAUUGAUUACAGAAUAGAAUAUGAGAUUGAGUAUCUAUCAUUGCAUGUAUAAUUGAGAACAUUGUAUCUAACUCUUUCAUACAGGGAUAAGUGUCACUUAAAAGAUGUAUGAAGUAAUGAAUAGUGACAAAGAUAAUUACUCUUAUCAUAACUUAGCCACAUAUAAAUAUGAUAAGAACCUCAAUUAGAUACUCUAGAAAGUCAUUAGCAUGGAAUUAGAACGAACUACAAGAAUAUUUCCUAAGUUAUUCUCAACUAUAUAGUCUAGCAUUAUCAUAGUUAGUGCAAGCAUACUUAGCAAUCAUUGUGAGACAAGACUACGCCCAUGCAUAGUGAUAUUAGCAAGGUAAAUGAGAAACAUAGCAAUCACUCCCCUGUAAUAAUGUUGCUCUGCCAGCCCAAUACACGAAAGGGGGACUAUAUAAGAAUCAAUGAAGCUGUCACUAUCACGAACUACCCCACGAUCUGGCAUAUUGGGUACAAUCGCAGAUAAAUACGGUAUAAGCACCACGCCUACACAAUAUCUAUCAUUUACCCAUGGAUCUGAUGGAUAAACGCUAUAUGAUCCUAAACAUGUAUAUAGAUCCAAUCUAACUAAGCCAAGUAUAUAACUAUGACAAACUAAGAACAAUAUAAUCUUGAAUAUAAACAAGUAGAGCAAAGUCAUAAGCAAUAUAUUGAAGUAGAACAAAGUCAUAUUCAUAAUAUUGAAGAACAAAGAUGAUUAGAAGAACAAUUAGAAGCACAAUUAGAGAAUUACCAAGAAUACUCUUGACAGAUCCGGAAACCAAUCGAAGAUUGACUCCUUCUAGUUCUAAUCCUAUGUAGCUAUGCUAAUCUAGAUGUCUAAUUGAUGUGGUGGCUCUAAUCUUGAUCAGGGGCUUCUUCUCGCUUGAGGAAUAAUAAAUUAGGGUUGAGAGGCUCUCUCAUCCAAGGGCCAGGGGGUCUGGUUUUAUAGUCCCUUCAAGUGAAUAUGGGCUAUUGGAUUAAACCGACAUUGAUUGAACGGUUAUCAUUGAUCCUUUAGGUCGGUGGAGAUCUUCCCCGAAACAGAGUCCUGAUUGGACUUAGCAGAAGGGUAGGCGCCCAGGGCAACUGGGCGGGCACCCAGUGCCUGGCCCCGUUCGGCCUCUGCUUCCUUCCCGUGGCUUCUGAAGUCUUGUAGAUGUAAGAUAAUUGCACGGCACGUUAAUAUCUCUAUGUAAUCCCGACAUGUGGGCCUUUCUUCCGUAUUCCCCGAUAACCCCCUGCAGAAAUAGACAAACACCAAAACUCGUGGAAUUCUGUCAGAUAAAACCCUAAGUCUAGAUGUUGAUUUCAUUUGGAUCCUUUUCUUUGUUUAUUUGAUAAUUAAAUUUGAUACUUAAGGACCGUCAACAAUGAUUAGGGAUAACCUAAGAGUGGCACAGUCCAGAUAGAAAAGUUAUGCCGACACCCGAAGAAGGGAUUUGAGCUUCAAAGAGGGUGAUUUUGUAUAUUGUAAUACCCGAUUUUAAGGACAAAACCAGAUAUGCAUCAUAUGUGAGUUUUAGAUGCCAAAUCUCACAUAUAGCUACAAAUAAGGGGUAAUAUCAAAAGACAAUGCAUAAAUAUAUAACGUACUUAGUAUAAAAGUGAUAACCUUUAUUAGCAAACAGCGGAUAGACAACUUCAAACUUUGGGUAUUAACUUCUCUCUACAGGAUCCAACUGACUGGUUGAUCACAAGCCUAAACUCCUCCUGAGGUUUUGGGGAAAUAGCAAGAGUGAGUCCAUGUCGAACUCCACAAGUAUAGCAACUAGAUUGUAUAGCUCCCACAUCUCAUGAUCAAUGUGACAUAAAUAAUGUAAAGCAUUAAACAAUAAACAAUGGGCAUAUUUAACACACAAGAAUCAUCACCCUUAAUGUAGAUGUCCCCAAGGCCGCUCCUGACCGUGAGCCCGGCUAGUAUACCAGUUUUAUACUCUGCAGAGGUUGUACAUCUUUACCCAUGAGUCAUGAUUUACCCUUUCGCCCGAGGUAGCUAAUCUCUUAACCCCUUCCUAGGGAGGUCGGCAGGGAUCACUAUGAAGUCUUUCAAAGGUUCGUCUAACAAGUUAGGGCCGCUUGGUUUCAUUAGUCAGUCCGUGUGAUUCACCCGCAGGAAUCCACAGUCUGCUAUUCCCCAAUUGCGCCACAACGGGUAACCGCUAACGAGCUACAAAAGUUACUCAUACUUAACUAAAGCCAGAGCCAUUAUAGCCCUCAUGGUUGCACUGUUGUCCCGGGUGAUCACGUACAGACAAAUCAUCAAGUUGCUAAAAAGUCAUUUUUAUCGUUUAUUACUUAACAUUAAUCUAGCCACACGAUCAUGGUCACAGAAAUAAAACCCAAAUGCUAUACUUGCCUUAAUCCAAUUGCUCUUGCUGAUCUUGCUAGUUGUCCAAGUCUUCAAUUAAUUGCUUGCUCACUAUUACCGACUCUGAUCCUUCUUGAUCACCACAUAAAACUCACCGACUAGACAGGAUCAUACCACACAAGCGUCCGAACAAACAUGCCUAGCAAACAUAAUAAAUUUAGAACAAUACACCAAUCAAUAAAAAGGUUUGAAAACGGUUCUACGCAUUGCUACGGGCACACAAGCAUAAAAACACUCUAGUCGAAGCUACGGUUCAAAAGAAACGACUACACAUGCUUUUAUAUUAUAUUAAAGAAAAACCAUAUAUAUGCUUGAUUUAUCAUUUUAAUUGAGCAAAACUAUGUGAAAAGUUAUUUAGACCUGAUUAGUUAAAAUAUAAUUUAAUUUAAAAGUUGAGUUAAAGCUACUCUGUUUUAUUUAUAUAAGCAAUGUUGUAUAAUUUAGUCAAUUUAAACUUGGACUUGCAAAAUAUAAAUUGAUAUGGGUGAGAACACGUGAACAAGUUUAAUAUGUGAAGCAUGUUUAAACUAAGCAAAAUCUAAAUUUAAAACAUAUUCAUGUCGUACUAACAUUUAUGUUAAAAUAUCAGAGCCUAAUCAUCUAUGUAUUUCUUUUAGUUGGAAACUAGCUGUGUUAAUAUAAACUUAAUCAAUUCAUAUAUGUGAUAUGAAAACGUUAGCUCUAUCUUUCACUACGAAACUAACACUAUGAGAACGAAUUGGAAGGGACGUGAUACCGAUAGAUAUGAACGUGAGAGGAACGGACCGAAAGGCUCAUCGGUGAUUGUCGAUGGUAGAAAUUAACAAUGCUUGGUGGCCACGAAAUUGACGUCAACUGAUCUUGGAGAAGGUGGACAUGAAGACAGAUCUCGCCUCUCACGUCAACGAAUGCAGCAUCGUGGAGAAGCUCCGAGUGGCAGCGGAUGAUCGUCACGGCAACAGAGCAUGAAGCCAAGAAAAAUAUUAUUAUUUACUACCAUAAGAGAUUUCAAAACUAGAGGCUCUCUUUAUGUAGUUUUGGUGAUUUGGCCAAGGAGUCGUACAAAUAUAUAGGGAGAAAAACUCUUCACAUCCACAUCGAUUAGCAAUAUGAUACUAAUUGAUGUUGCAACCUCCAUCUUUACUAAUAGGCCUGAUAAAUUAUUAAAGCCCAUUAGUAAAUAAAAACAUGGGCCUUGAGCGUUGGGAAAAGAAUAAGAGAUUUAUUAUUUUCAGAAUUAUAAUUAUAGAAAAGUCCAGAAUUAUUAUUUAAACUAUGAAAAAUAUUCUAAAAGCUCUGAAAAUUCGGAGAAAAUUCUCAGAGACAUUAUAGAACAUGGGGAACCCGAAUAAAGCUUUUGGAGCUCAUGAGAAGAUUGUUUGGAGCAUCUAAAAAUUAGAUCAUGCUCACAGAAAAGUGAGAACAGAAACUGAAAAAAAUUCCCGAAAAAUUUGUAGAGAGUGCUUGAUGGACGAGGAACUAAAAGAAGUGCUUUGAGUGACAAAGAAAAUAUUUAAGGAUGGUCCUAAUAAAAAUUUGAGCUUUAGAAACAAGGAAUUUGGUUAAUACGUGCCGAAUAAGGAAGAUCGAUCUACUAUACGUAUUUUAAAUAUAUUUCUUACUAUCAACACAUAAAGGAGCAACAAGCAUCACAUCAAAACAUAUGCACCAGCAUGUAUGCAUAAUAAUAUUGCUAAGCCUUAUGAUAAAUUUUAAUUUAAUGAAAAAAUAUUAUUUUUCCUAUAUUUUCAUAAGCACAAAAAUACAAAAUUAAAUAAUUUUAUCUAUAUUUUAAAAGGAUUGAAUUUUAGGAUGUUACAUAUAUCUGAAGGUAUCUCCAAUGAGGAGUGUGAAGAGAUUCAAUCUGAAGGGUAAGCUAUCACCGAGAUACGUCGGACCUUUCAGGAUUCUUGCAAGACGUGGAGAAGUAGCCUAUCAGUUAGAACUUCCUAAGAGCUUGUCAGGUGUACAUGAUGUAUUCCAUGUUUCUCAGUUGAAGAAGUGUUUGCGGGUACCCGAAGAGCAGAUUCCUAUAGAAGAGUUGACCGUUAAAGAAGAUCUCACUUAUGAAGAGUACUCGAUAAAGAUCUUGGAAACUGUAGAUAGAGUUACAAGAAGCAGAACCAUAAAGAUGUGUAAAGUACAGUGGAACCGUUAUACCGAAGAUAAAGCUACGUGGGAAAGAGAAGAGUAUUUGAGAAAGUCGUAUCCACAACUGUUUGAGUAAGCAUCACCCAAUCACGAGGACGAGAUUAAUUUUAAGGGGUAGAAUUGUAACACCCAAAAAUUUUAUUUAUUUAAAAUAGAUGAAUUGAAUUUAAAUGAAUUUAUUUUGUGAGCAUUUUCAAUAUAGGAAAAUAAAUAAAUUUGGAGAAAUUAAAAUUUAAUAUAAGUUGAGAAUAAUAAUUUUUGUUGCAUACAUGCUGGUGCACUUAUUUUAUGUGAUGAGCGGUUUUGAAGAAAGGAAUUUGAAUUCAAAAAAAUUCAUUUGUAAAAGAAUUUGAAAAUUUUGUUUGGAAAAUAAAAAGGAAAAAGCCUUUCUCUCUCCCCCUUCCUUCUUUUCGGCCAUUUUGGCCCAAACCCCGCGCCCCGCGCCCCAUCCUGGGCCACGGCCCAGCCGGCUCCCCCUUCCCCUCUCUCCCUCCCCGCUGACAGGCCGGGCGCGCCUGUCAGCAUCUCCUUCCCCAACGGCCCACCCCGAUUCCCUCUCUCUCUCUCAGCUCAAACUGCCAAGCCCCCCCCCCCCCCCCGCGCCCACGAUCCUCCCCGCGCCUCGGUCUUUAAGUUGGAGAGCCCCCCCGCCCCCGUGCGCCCGAGCCGUUCUCCUCGCCCACUUCGCCUUCCCUCCCCUCACCUCUGCUCCCAACCGCGAGCGCGCAGAGAGAACCGUCGCCGGGUCGCCGGAGAAUUUCGUCGGCCGCUGCUCCGAGCCGUCUUCGUCUUCCUUCUUUGCGUCGGUGAGCGCGCCUCAUCCUCCUCUCCCUCUUCGGCCUUCUCCCGAGCGAGGUGGUGCUCUCUAGGGUCGUCCCCAUGAGCUUCGAAGGUGCCAUCAAUGGCGGCUCCGCGGUCGCUUUGCGGGGGAGUUUUCGGGUCAUUCCGAGGCCGGGAGCGAGUUCGCCGCGACCUCCUGUCUCUCCCGGUGUGUUUAGUUCGCGAAACCGAGCUCCGUAGCGCUCUACAGGACUUCGCCGGCGAGCUCGGGCCGGCCGUCAAUGGCGCCCGGUGCCUCCUCUCUCCCCUCCGGCUGGCGCGCCGCCUUUCGCCCCAUCUCUCUUCUUUGCGAACUAAUCUCGGCCGUCCAUCGCGAGAUCAACGGCUAAGAAGAGCCCAUCCCCCUUCGGGGGCAAUCUUGUUAAAGAUUCCCCCAAAAAUAUUGAAAAUUGCACCGCAGUCCUCGGCCAGAGAGAUUUUCCAGGAUUUAAUUAUUUAUUUAAAUUUUUUUAAACUCUGCUUUAUUUACAGAAUUGCCACCGCAUUGUUUUAGCUAUAAAAUCGUCGUUUGAACUCCGAAUCGAUCCGUUCAAGUUGCGUUAGUUUUGUAAUUUCGUAAGCUUCACGUUGGUACCACUGUUGUUUAGGUUUACCACUGUUAGGUUUCCUAGUUAAUUACAAGUCCGUAGAUUGCUGUUGAAAUCCCGUUAAAAGCGUAACUUUCGCGUCGUAAGUCCGUUUUUCGUGAAUUUCGCGUUGACGUGAUCAUAGCAGCACGUAGAUGAUUUUGGAAAACUUUUAUUUAAUUUAUUUACUGCUGGUGUACUGUUCUAACUUUAGGAAUUGUUCUCUUGCAUGUUUGUCUUGGUAUGCGUGAUGAUUGUGAUGUAUUGAUCGAGCCCAGACGGUGAGGAGUAUUUCGGGAGUCCGGAGCUCUUUGGGGACCAGCAGGACCAGCAAGACCAGCAGGAGUACGUGAACCAAGGCAAGUAUAGCAUGGGCCUACCUUGUUGUCCUACUCAUUUUUAAGCAUUUCACCCCGCAUGUGUAUAAUAUUGCAAACUAUAAGGACAUCCUAGUUGUUGAUGACAAUUACCUUGUUUCCGAGGAUUUUUAUUGCAUAUGGGUAGAAGUGCUAGUGCUCUAACUCCAACUAUAUAUGAUCUGAAAUCAGUGAUGAAACCAUGGUUAAUUGAUUAAAAAUGAUUAUGAUAAAUGGAACAUAGGGCUAUGGUAAAAAUGACUGUUGGUCAUGUUGUCUUAGACCCUCCGUAAGGAAUUAUCUAUCAGCAAAAGCUGGGACUUACAGUUCAACCGGGAGAGUCGCAUGGCUCUGAAUUUAGCUCAGUAAUAGGAUCUUUUCUAACUCGUUAGAGGUUACCCGAAAGGGCCCAAGAGGGGCUUGCUACUUUGGGUGUAGUGCUGCCCCUGUUUCUAUGAGUAUAGCCGCGAUGGAAAUGUGCCAUAGAAAAGGGGGGUUUUCUACAUCUGCCUGCCGAUGAAACCUCGUGGCCCUAACUGGUUAGAAUAGGCCUAUGGAAGGCUUCAUAGUGUACCCUACCCGCUCACCUUGGUAGUGUUUGGGGGUCGACGGACCACGGGCAUAUGGACAACACGACUCACGGUGAAAGUGCACAACCUCUGCAGAGUGUGUAACUGUUAUAACAGCCGUGAUCACGGUCACGAGCGGCCCAGAAAACUCACAGAAUAACUGGUUACUGAUAGCUAUAUGGUACAUGAUGAUGUAUAAUUAUGCUUUAAUGUGACUUAAUGACUUACUAUGGUUCUGAUAACUGAUCAUAUGGGAUACUUGGGAGCUUAAACAUAACCUAAUGAUAAUUAAUGAUAAAAUGUUGACCUACUAAAAAGCUGACGUUAUAAACCUAGCCUGUUUGAGCCUCAUAAAUCCUCAUCCUAUGCUUGUGGAGUACGAGAUGUAUUCACGCUUGUAUAUUUUUUUUCUUUGGAUAAAAAUCCCGGAUGGGUAACAGAUGGUGGUAGCUAUGAGGACUACCCGAAGGACUUUUAGGCUUGUGCUUUACCAGUCGACCUUCCCUGUGUGAGGGCCAUGAGAUAGUUAUCUUAGAUUAUCUUAUUUAUAUUCCCGCUGUUGUACCAGACUUUGUGAUGUAAUAACUACGUUUGUUGUAAACACUGCGAUGAUGGUAUUUAAUUUGUGUAACACCCAAAAUUUUGAUUUCAAUUAAUAGGAUUUAACUGAAUUUAUUUAUGUAUUUUUGUGAGCAUUUGAAUCUAGCAAAAUAAAUAAUUUUGCGCAAAUUAAAAUUCACCAUCAAUUUAGAAAACAUGGUUGUGCAUUCAUGUUGGAGUUUGGUAUUUUGGUGCUGGUGUUUUGUUUUUAUUUUAUCUAUUUUGCUUUAAAACUCCUUUUGUAAAAGGCCUUGGAAAAAUAGAAAAGAGAGUAAAAAAAGAAAAAAAGAAAAGGAAAACCCCCAGCCAGCCCAGUCCCCCUCCCACAGCCGCUGGCUUUUCCCCGCGCCCCGGCCCAUUCUCUGCGGCCCAACUGCGCGGCCAGAGCCUCCCCCUCUCCUUCUCCCUUUCGCUGACGGCUGGGCCCCACCCCUUUCUUACACCAACAGCCGGGCCCCACGCGUCAGCCUCCUCUCUCACCUUCCUUCUUCCUUCCCCCGCCGCGACCGAAGCUAGGAAAGCUCACCGCGUUCAAUCGCGGAAAUGACAGGAUUUCCUUGCCUUUCCGCGCAAACCGACCCUAUUUAAUCCCUAGCGACGCUCGCGUGUUUGUUUUCCACCCCGACGUGAGUUUAUAGCCCUAGCCGCCUAGUUUCUCGCCGUGAGGAUCUCACCGAAGGCCGCACACGUCUUCUACCGCGACGAGCACUUCUCCUUUCCAAUCAGCGCGAACCGAACGCCUUGGUGUGUUCGCCUUGCUCUCCUCUACUCGCUCACGGUCUCGGCUUGAGUUUUGGUGCACGGGAGCGCGAGAAUGGGGAACGCCGGCGAGCUACCAGGCCGCGGCAAUGGCGUCGCCGUGCCGGAGCCCUGGGAGCCGGCCGGUCGCCGCCCUUUGUUCCCUGGAUGAAGUGUGGACCGUCGAAUGAUGGAUCAAAGGCCCACAAUUGAAGAUACCCUUUCGCCAGGAAAAUUUGCUAGAGAGUCCCUAGACUUUUCCAGGAAUUAACCCACGGUCCAUGGCGUAUUUUUGUUUUUGCGCCUUCCAGUUUUAAAGGCGUAAUCCUGUCCGGUUCAAUUCAGUUUACGCUUUCGGUUAUUUACAGUUUUUCCAUCAAUUUUAUAAUGCUCAUAAAAUAUUCGUUUUGACUCCGUUUUUGUCUAUUCAAAUUUCGUUAGAUUCGUAUUUACGAGCUCCACAUGUUAAAAGUAUUAGUUACUGUUUUGAAACUUUUUAAUUCUGCAGUAGCAUUUAAUUAAUUAUUUCUCUAUAGGAAAUCUUAGAAAAUUCAUAUCUUCUUCGUUUUAAUUCUGAUUUUCGUGAACUUUACGUUUGUGUGAUCGUAGCGCUGCGUAGAAUAUUUUCAUAAACUUUUAUCUUUGAUUUCUCACUAUUGGUGUAAUGUUUUAAUUAUAUCUUGUUUGCUUUGUGUAUGAUUGUCUCCAUUGGAUUGCGUGUUGUUGAUUGAUGAUUGGGAAUAGACGGUGAGCCGUACGUUGGUGAUCAAGACCAAGCUUUUGAAGACCAGCAGGCUCAGGAGAGCUUUGAGCAAGGCAAGUAUAAAUUGGGAUCAUCCUUGUUACCUAUUCACUUAUAACUACACAUAUAUAUCAUAUGCAUGCUAUCACCUUGUCGACCUUAGCAAAAUCAUAGAUGAUUGUUACCUGGAUUCCUUGUUACCUACUUGAUAUGCAUUUGGUGUAGAUGUGCUAGUGCUUGAUAUAAUCCAUGAUCUUGUAAGAUGGUUAAUAGCUAUGCAAUGAACCUAAAAGAAUGACAAAUAACUGUAUGAGAUCUUGUCUGUACGUGAUCACCCGGGAUAACAGUGCAACCAUGAGGGCUAUAAUGGCUCUGGCUUUAGCUCAGUAUGAAGACCUUUUCUAGCUUGUUAGAGGUUACCCGAAAGGGCGAAGGGGCUGAACCAUUUUGGGUAUAGUGCGAGCCCAUGUCCCUAUGUGUAUAGGCUGCGCGUCAUUGUGCCAUUUGGAAGGGGGGUAUCUAUAUCUGCGCGCAAAGGAAACCUUGCGGCCCUAACAUGUUAGACGAACUUUUGAAAGGCUUUAUAGUGAUCCCUGCCGACCUCCCUAGGAAGGGGGUUAAGAGAUUAGCUACCUCGGGUGAAAGGGUAAAUCAUGACUCAUGAGUCAAGAUGUACAACCUCUGUAGAGUGUAAAACUGGUAUACUAGCCGAGCUCACGGUCAGGAGCGGCCUUGGGGACAUCUACAUUAAGAUGAUGAGCUUAUUAUGUUAUUAUGUUCAUUUGAUUAUCGUUUAUGCUAUGAAUUAAUUAUGCUUACACUUGAUCAUGUGAUUAAUGGGUUAUUUAUGCUACCUUGACAUUUGCUAUUUAAUUAUGAAUAUGCUACCCACUGUUAAAAGCUAAAUGCAGUCAAACCAGUGUCAGCUAUUUGAGCUUCAUGAACCCCUGGUUAUACUUGUUGAGUACGAUAUGUGCUCACUCUUGCAAUUUCCCAACACCCCAGGUUAUGCUAAUGAUGAUGAUUGGAAUGAGGACUACUGUUAUGAGUACUAGGUUUGGAGUCAACCAGUCAACAGUGUCCCUGUGUGGAGCUUCAGUCGAGAGCAUUGUUUACAUCUUGCUAUCACUCAUGUAUAAGACUAUGUGAUUUAUUAUGUUCCACUAUGUAAUAAACACUGCAAUGGUACAUUUGAGAUUUGUCUACUUAUGUGUGCGACUGUUUCUGGGGCACAUAUGAGUCUUUUAUGCAUCCUAUUUUGUUCUUAAAAUAUGGGUGUGACAAAUUGGUAUUAGAGCCAGGUUGACUGUUGGACGCAAGCCUAGUUAGAAAUGAGUCUUCUUAAGGUUUUGAAAUUGCUACAAAAUCCUUGUUCUAUAAACCUUGAUAUUUCCUUCUAUACUAUAUCCUUUUCAUUGCUAUUCAUCUUCACCUUGUUGCUUAUCUUAAAAGUAUUUGUUCUCGUCUUCACUCCUUGAUUUGUUAUGCUUUUAGAACCUUCUCUUACCACCUGCUUACAUAGUUGAAAGAGAAUUUUAGGAUCCUUGCCCUUAAUAGGAAGAGAACGUUAGUACCGCAAGUUGAGUCAAUGCUUGAAGUGUGAACUUUUGAUGCUUGGUUUGGUUUGUUAUUAUGCUUAUGCUUGAUUUGGAUUUUUGUAAUGAGUGCUGGAACCUUGUGGGCAUAUCCACAAGUUUCCUAGUUAAGAACCUUAAGUAAGAACACGAAUAAAUAGUGGUUUGGGGUCAUAUCCUGUUUCUGUCUUUUGCUGUUUUUCUAGAGCAGUCUGCAAUGAUUCUAGUAUAAAUCAAAUUCUGUUCGUCAAAUGUUCAUCAAAUUUUUCUGGGAACAAGUAGACUUUCAUAUCCUUCCAAUGCCGCAAGAAUGACCAUAUUAUCUGUUAUGAGCUGUGAGUUAUGACUGUUUAAAGUUGAGGUUUCUGCGCAGUCUGGAAUUCUGGAACAGUUUCGGUUUUGUACCCAGUUUUUGAUUAACCUAACAUUGGAAUCUGUUAAAAUGAUCUAAAUGCAAGUUGUAGAUAAUUUCCUUAUCUUUUCAACGGUGUACAGAAUGUAUCCUUUUGGAUUCUAGAACUCGAGAUAUGACUGAUUUUCCAAUCUGCUGAUGUUGGAUGUUACCCAGAAAAUUUUAGAUUCCGUUAACUCUUGUAAUUGUCAUGUUGGACAUUACUAAGAUGUGUUUGUAUACCUUGGUAUGCAGAUGGCAGCAAGGGGAAGAGGCAGAGGCAGAGGCCAUGGCAAUGGCAAUGGUGGCAAUGCCCCAAUUACUGUGGAGGAACUCAUGCAAACCCAAAAUGAGAUGAUGCACGUCUUCAUGCAGCACUUACUGGAGGAACCUCCACCGACACCACCACCUAUUCAUGUGAGAGAUAAGCGUGGAGAGUUUAUGAAGGGAAGACCCCCAGUAUUUACACACUCAGCUGAUCCCAUGGAGGCAGAUGAUUGGUUACGUGCUGUGGAGAGGCAACUGAACCUGCAUAGUGCAAUGACUUAGAGAAGGUGUUGUAUGCUUCUAGACAACUUCAGGGGGCAGCUCAGACUUGGUGGGAGUCAUAUCAAGCUGCUCGUCCCAACAAUGCUCCACCAGUCACAUGGCUAGAAUUCUGUAGAGACUUCAGAGCUCGACAUAUAAAUGAGGGAAUGAUGGAGCUCAAGCAAGAAGAAUUCAGAUCACUCAGGAUGGGCUCCAUGACUGUGGCAGAAUAUCAUGACACAUUUGAACAGUUGGCUCACUAUGCUCCGAAUGAUGAUAAGCAGCGUCUAUUAAUGAAAGGUCUUUACUACGAGCUCAGGUUGCAGUUGGCUGGAAACACCUAUCCUACCUUCCAGGCACUUGUGAAUCGUGCCAUUGUGCUUGAUAAUAUGCGUAAGGGUCAGGAUAAGAAGAGAAGGAUGCUGGCACAAGGUUCUGGGAGCAACAACCGUCAGCAUUUCAGUUCUUAACAAGGCUAUCAGCAGAGGUUCUAGGGACCAGUUAGUUAGUGGAACCGCAACCAGCAACCUCAGCGUUUCCAGAAUCAAUUUUAGAGUGGGAACCAACGUCCUCCAUUCCAACACGUAGCCAUAAUCAACAGCAGCAUGGUCAGCAGACACCCCGCUCAGGGAAUUCAAGUGCUACCUCCAUGAAAAGAAGUGCUUCUAACACUCCUACAAGGUGUUUCCGUUGUGGGAAAGAGGGACAUAUGUCAUAUGAUUGCCCGGAGAAGCUCAACAAGCCGAACAACAACCAAAAGUCUAGUGCUUAUGCGGCAACAGUGAAUAAUGUGGCUACAGAGACAGUUCAGGAGGGACCAGAGAUCAUGAUGGGUAUGUUCAGCAUCAACUCUAUCCCUGCUACAGUUUUAUUUGAUUCUGGAGCUUCACAUACAUUCAUAUCACAAGCAUUUGUUAGAGUUCAUAGCAUUCCACUAGUUGCAAUGAAAACCCCUAUGCUAGUUAAUUCACCGGGUGGGACUAUACCUGUUUAUUUAUGUUGCCCCUCAGCAAGUCUUUCUUUAAGGGGGGUAGAUUUUCCAAUCAGUCCCAUGGUUAUCAGAACUUCAGGCAUAGAUGUGAUCUUGGGUUUGGAUUGGAUGAAGCAACAUGACACAGAUAUUAAGUGCAAGGAGAGAGUAGUGGCUCUGACAACCCCAAAGGGAGAACGAAUCAGUGUUGAUGUAACAGUGCAAGCACCACUCACAGCCAAGGUGAACCAACUAAAUGAUGACGUUGAUCCUCAGAAUAUGGUAGUGGAUGAGUUUUCGGAUGUCUUUCCAGAUGAAUUGCCAGGUAUGCCACCUGACCGAGACAUUGAAUUUAUUAUUGAAUUACUACCUGGUACUGCACCCAUAGCUAAAGGACCAUAUAGAAUGGGGGUUAAUGAACUAGAAGAACUUAAGAAACAAAUUAAGGAAUUGCAAGAUAAAGGGUUCAUUCGUCCUAGUUCAUCACCAUGGGGUGCACCAGUUAUCUUUGUUGAUAAGAAGGAUGGUAGUCAGAGGAUGUGUGUUGAUUAUCGGUCACUCAAUGAGGUCACUAUCAAGAAUAAAUACCCAUUGCCUAGGACUUAUUUAAUCAGCUAAGAGGUGCUUGUGUGUUCUCUAAGAUUGAUUUGCGUUCUAAUUAUCAUCAAUUGAAGAUUCGGAAAUCCGAUAUACCAAAGACAGCUUUCACAACAAGGUAUGGGUUUUAUGAGUAUACAGUUAUGUCUUUUGGUUUGACCAAUGCACCCGCUUACUUUAUGUACAUGAUGAAUAAAGUAUUUAUGGAGUACCUUGAUAAGUUUGUGGUGGUCUUUAUUGAUGAUAUUCUGGUAUUCUCUAAAACCAAGGAAGAACAUGCUGAACAUCUGAGAUUGGUCUUACAGAAACUUAAAGAACAUAAGUUGUAUGCUAAGCGUAGUAAAUGUGAGUUUUGGUUGGAAGAAGUUUCUUUUCUUGGUCAUGUUGUCUCUAAUGGUGGUAUUGCAGUGGAUCCUAGUAAGGUGAAAGAUGUGCUGAACAGGAAACCACCUACGGAUGUAAGUGAAAUUCGCAGUUUUCUUGGUUUAGCUGGUUACUACCGUAGAUUCAUUGAAGGGUUCUCAAAACUUGCAAAGCCUAUGACUGCUCUGUUGGAGAAGAAUGCUAAGUUUGUAUGGUCUGAUAAGUGUCAAGCUAGUUUUGAGGAGUUUAAGAAGAGAUUGACUACUGCACCUGUGUUGGUAUUGCCAGAUCUGAGUAAGAGUUUCUCUAUCUAUUGUGAUGCUUCUCGUCUGGGUUUGGGUUGUGUUCUCAUGCAAGAAGGUAGAGUCGUUGCUUAUGCAUCUAGACAGCUGAGGAAACAUGAACUGAAUUAUCCUACUCAUGAUCUAGAGUUAGCAGCUGUGGUUCACGCAUUGAAGAUUUUGAGACACUAUUCGAUUGGGCAUAAGAGUGACAUAUACACUGAUCAUAAGAGUCUAAAGUAUAUCUUCACCCGGACAGAUUUGAAUUUGAGGCAACGAAGAUGGUUGGAACUGAUAAAGGACUAUGAUAUGGAAGUGCAUUAUCAUCCUGGAAAGGCGAACGUUGUAGCUGAUGCACUUAGCAGAAAGAAAUAUGCUAAUGAGCUUCGGGCGACACCUGAAUCUGAGGAGUUGUGUGCUGAAUUUGCAUAUUUGAAUUUGGGAAUUGUAGUAAAUGCUAUGGAAAUUGAGGUCACCCCUACUCUAGAGGAAGAGAUAUUGAAAGGACAGUUGGAAGAUGAGAAACUAAAGGAGAUAGCACAGAAUGUGGUACUAGGCAAAGCACCAGGAUUCAGGAUAGAUGACAAUGGUAUAUUGUGGUUUGGAAAAAGUAUAUGUGUUCCUGAAGUGAAGGCUAUUCGUGAUAUGAUUCUGAGAGAGGCUCAUGAGUCAGCAUAUUCCAUUCACCCUGGUAGUACUAAGAUGUAUCUAGAUCUGAAACAGAAGUACUGGUGGUAUGGUUUAAAGAGAGAUGUAGCAGAGUAUGUUGCUUUGUGUGAUACUUGUCAGCGAGUGAAAGCUGAACAUCAGAGGCCAACUGGACUGUUAAAACCAAUGAAGAUUCCGGAAUGGAAGUGGGAAGAAGUGGGUAUGAAUUUUAUAGUGGGUUUACCAUGUACACAGAGAGGGUAUGACUCAAUAUGGGUGAUAGUAGAUCGUUUGACUAAAGUGGCUCACUUCAUACCUGUUAAAACUAAGUACACUGGAGAACGCCUAGCUGAGCUGUAAAUGGAGAGAAUUGUUUGUUUGCAUGGGGUACCUAAGAAGAUUGUGUCAGAUAGGGGUACUCAAUUCACAUCUCACUUUUGGAAAGCAGUGCAUGAUUCUUUGCGAACAAAGUUGAAUUUUAGUACAGCGUAUCAUCCACAGACAAAUGGACAGACUGAGAGGAUCAAUCAGAUAUUGGAGGAUAUGUUGAGGGCUUGUGCUUUGCAGUAUGGGACUAGUUGGGACAAGAGUUUGCCAUAUGCAGAAUUCUCCUACAACAACAGCUAUCAACAUAGUCUUAAGAUGGCACCGUUCGAGGCACUGUAUGGUCGGAAGUGCAGGACACCUUUGUUUUGGAAUCAGACAGGAGAAACUCAGGUGUUUGGGACAGAUGUGCUUAGACACAUAGAACAACAAGUGUGGACUAUUCGGGAUAACUUGAGAGUUGUUCAAUCUCGUCAGAAAAGCUAUGCAGAUACGCGUAGGAGAGAGCUAGCUUUUGAAGUGGGUGAUUAUGUCUACCUGAAAGUAUCACAAAUGAGGAGUGUGAAGAGGUUUAAUAUGAAGGGAAAGCUAGCUCCAAGGUAUGUUGGUCCGUUUAAAGUAUUAGAAAGGCGUGGAGAAGUAGCAUAUCAAUUAGAAUUGCCUGAAAGUUUGUCUGGUGUACACGAUGUGUUCCAUGUGUCACAACUUAAGAAGUGUUUGCGUGUACCUGAGGAGCAACUACCAUUGGAAGAGCUUUCUGUUAAAGGUGAUCUCACAUAUGAGGAAUAUCCAGUUAAGAUUUUGGAAACAACUGAGAGAGUCACUAGAAGUCGGGUUAUUAAAAUGUGCAAAGUGCAAUGAAAUCGAUAUUCAGAAGCGGAAGCAACUUGGAAAAGAGAGGAUGAUCUGAGAAAAUCAUAUUCAAAUUUGUUUGAGUAAGUUCUGCUCAAUCUCGAGGACGAGAUUCUUUUAAGGGGGGUAGAGUUUGUAACACCCAAAAUUUUGAUUUCCAUUAAUAGGAUUUAAUUGAAUUUAUUUAUGUAUUUUUGUGAGCAUUUGAAUCUAGCAAAAUAAAUAAUUUUGUGCAAAUUAAAAUUCACCAUCAAUUUAGAAAACAUGGUUGUGCAUUCAUGCUAGAGUUUGGUAUUUUGGUGCUGGUGUUUUGUUUUUAUUUUAUCUGUUUUGCUUUAAAACUCCUUUUGGAAAAGGCUUUAGAAAAAUAGAAAAGAGAGUAAAAAAAGAAAAAAAAAGAAAAGGAAAACCCCCAGCUAGCCCAGUCCCCCUCCUGCAGCCGCUGGCUUUUCCCCGCGCUCCGGCCCAUUAUCUGCAGCCCAACUGCGCGGCCAGAGCCUCCCCCUCUCCUUCUCCCUUUCGCUGACGGCUGGGCCCCACCCCUUUCUUACACCGACAGCCAGGCCCCACUCGUCAGCCUCCUCUCUCACCUUCCUUCUUCCUUCCCCCGCCGCGACCGAAGCUAGGAAAGCUCACCGCGUUUUCGCGCAAACCGACCCUAUUUAAUCCCUAGCGACGCCCGCGUGUUUGUUUUCCACCCCGACGUGAGUUUAUAGCCCUAGCCGCCUAGUUUCUCGCCGUCGGGAUCUCGCCAAAGGCCGCGCACGUCUUCUACCGCGACGAGCACUUCUCCUUUCCAAUCAGCGCGAACCGAACGCCUUGGUGAGUUCGCCUUGCUCUCCUCUGCUCGCUCACGGUCUCGGCUUGAGUUUUGGUGCACGGGAGCGCGAGAAUGGAGAACGCCGGUGAGCACCCAGGCCGCGGCAAUGGCGCCGCCGCGCCGGAGCCCUGGGAGCCGGCCGGCCGCCGCCCUUUGCUCCCUGGAUGAAGUGUGGACCGUCGGAUGAUGGAUCAAAGGCCCACAAUUGAAGAUACCCUUUCGCUAGGAAAAUUUGCUAAAGAGUCCUUGGACUUUUCUAGGAAUUAACCCGUGGUCCAUGGCGUAUUUUCGUUUUUGCGCUUUCCAGUUAAAGGCGUAAUCCUGUGUGGUUCAAUUCAGUUUACGCUUUCAGUUAUUUACAGUUUUGCCAUCAAUUUUAUAAUGCUCAUAAAAUAUUCGUUUUUACUCCGUUUUUGUCCAUUCAAAUUUCGUUAGAUUAUUAUUUACGAGCUCUACAUGUUAAAAGUAUUAGUUACUGUUUUGAAACUUUUUAAUUCUGCAGUAGCGUUUAAUUAAUUAUUUCUCUAUAGGAAAUCUUAGAAAAUUCAUAUCUUCUGCGUUUUAAUUCCGAUUUUCGUGAACUUUACGUUUGUGUGAUCGUAGCGCUGCGUAGAAUAUUUUCAUAAACUUUUAUCUUUGAUUUCUCACUGUUGGUGUAAUGUUCUAAUUAUAUCUUGUUUGCUUUGUGUAUGAUUGUCUCCAUUGGAUUGCAUGUUGUUGAUUGAUGAUUGGGAAUAGACGGUGAGCCGUACGUUGGUGAUCAAGACCAAGCUUUUGAAGACCAGCAGGCUCAGGAGAGCUUUGAGCAAGGCAAGUAUAAAUUGGGAUCAUCUUGUUACCUAUUCACUUAUAACUACAUAUAUAUCAUAUGCAUGCUAUCACCUUGUCGACCUUAGCAAAAUCAUAGAUGAUUGUUACCUGAAUUCCUUGUUACCUACUUGAUAUGCAUUUGGUGUAGAUGUGCUAGUGCUUGAUAUAAUCCAUGAUCUUGUAAGAUGGUUAAUAGCUAUGCAAUGAACAUAAAAGAAUGACAAAUAACUGUAUGAGAUCUUGUCUGUACGUGAUCACCCGGGAUAACAGUGCAACCAAGAGGGCUAUAAUGGCUCUGGCUUUAGCUCAGUACGAAGACCUUUUCUAGCUUGUUAGAGGUUACCUGAAAGGGCGGAGGGGCUGAACCAUUUUGGGUAUAGUGCGAGCCCCUGUCCCUAUGUGUAUAGGCUGCGCGUCAUUGUGCCAUUCGGAAGGGGGGUAUCUAUAUCUGCGCGCAAAGGAAACCUUGCGGCCCUAACAUGUUAGACGAACUUUUGAAAGGCUUCAUAGUGAUCCCUGCCGACCUCUCUAGGAAGGGGUUAAGAGAUUAGCUACCUCGGGCGAAAGGGUAAAUCAUGACUCAUGGGUAAAGAUGUACAACCUCUGCAGAGUGUAAAACUGGUAUACUAGCCGAGCUCACGGUCAGGAGCAGCCUUGGGGACAUCUACAUUAAGAUGGUGAGCUUGUUAUGUUAUUAUGUUCAUUUGGUUAUCGUUUAUGCUAUGAAUUAAUUAUGCUUACACAUGAUCAUGUGAUUAAUGGGUUAUUUAUGCUACCUUGACAUUUGCUAUUUAAUUAUGAAUAUGCUACCCACCGUUAAAAGCUAAAUGCAGUCAAACCAGUGUCCGCUAUUUGAGCCUCAUGAACCCCUGGUUAUACUUGUUGAGUACGAUAUGUGCUCACUCUUGCAAUUUCCCAACACCUCAUGUUAUGCUAAUGAUGAUGAUUGGAAUGAGGACUACCGUUCUGAGUACUAGGUUUGUAGUCAACCAGUCAACAGUGUCCCUGUGUGGAGCUUCCGUCGAGAGCGUUGUUUACAACUUGCUAUCACUCAUGUAUAAGACUAUGUGAUUUAUUAUGUUCCGCUAUGUAAUAAACACUGCCAUGGUACAUUUGAGAUUUGUCUACUUAUGUGUGCGACUGUUUCUGGGGCACAUAUGAGUCUUUUAUGCAUCCUAUUUUGUUCUUAAAAUAUGGGUGUGACAAUUUGUGACUUAUGUGUGUGAUUGAUCUCUGGGCGCACAUAAGUCUAUGCAUUCAAUUUCUUCCUUGAAAUUGGGUGUGACAUUGUACAACUUCUCAAGAUCUACAAUAUUUAUUUUGAUCAUUUCUUUAUUUGACAAAGCCAAAACAAAUUUAUUGACAAAUUUUACAUCUCUCUCUUAUAGUAUAUGAAACUACAAGACAGAUAUAUAAGAUUUUAGAAAAAUAUUAGAAUCACCAUGUCGGAUGAACAUACGAAAAAAUAACCAAAAUAAACUCUGUAGAUCAUGAGAUGUUAUGAAAUUUUUUACUUGGUAACUUUUUUAUUUGAGUUCAUCUUGUCAUGCAAAACCACGUUUUUAAUUGAAAAUUUUAAAAUUUUAUUUUUUCAAACAACCUCGGAUGGAAAAACUUUCUAAAUAAACUUUGUAGAUCUCAAAAAGUUAUGAAACUUUGUAGUUGAUAACUUUUUGUUUUGAAAUCAUCUUGUCAUGCAAAAACUACAUUUGAAUUUCUUAAAUUUGAUUCUUUGCCGAGUGUUUUUCUUUGACACUCGGCAAAGACCUUCUCUGCCGAGUGUCAAAAAUAAAACACUCAGCAAAGAAAAUUUCAAAUCGAAUUUUGAUACCCUAAACGAAUUCAAAUCAAAAAGUUUUUAACUAUAAAGUUGUAUAACUUCUCAAGAUCUACAACAUUUAUUUUGAUUAUUUCUUUAUUUGACAAAGCCAAAACAAAUUUAUUUACAAAUAUUAUAGCUCUCUCUUAUAGUAUAUGAAACUACAAAACAGAUAUAUAAGAUUUUAGAAAAAUAUUAGAAUGACCAUGUCGGAUGAACAUAUGACAAAAUAACCAAAAUAAACUUUGUAGAUCUUGAGAUAAAAAUGAAAUUUUGUAUUUGGCAACUUUUCUAUUUGAGUUCAUUUUGUCACGCAAAAUCGCGUUUUUAAUUGAAAAUUUUAAAAUUUGAUUUUCUUAAACAACCUUGGAUGGAAAAACUCUCUAAUUAAACUUUGUAGAUCUCAAAAAGUUAUGAAACUUUGUAGUUGAUAACUUUUUGUUUUGAAAUCAUCUUGUCAUGCAAAAACUAAAUUUGAAUUUAUUAAAUUUGAAAAUUCUUUCCUGAGUGUUUUUCUUUGACACUCGGCAAAGAAUGGUCUUUGCCGAGUGUCAAAAAUAAAACACUCGGCAAAGAAAAUUUCAAUUCGAAUUUUGAAGCCCUAAACGAAUUCAUAUUAAAAAGUUUUUAACUACAAAGUUGUACAACUUCUCAAGAUCUAUAACAUUUAUUUUGAUCAUUUCUUUAUUUCACAAAGCCAAAACAAAAUUAUUUACAAAUUUUACAUCUCUCUUAUAGUAUAUGAAACUACAAGACAGAUAUAUAAGAUUUUUAAAAAAUAUUAGAAUGACCAUGUCGGAUGAACAUAUGACAAAAUAACCAAAACAAACUCUGUAGAUCUUGAGAUGUUAUGAAAUUUUGUAUUUGGCAACUUUUUUAUUUGAGUUCAUCUUGUCAUGCAAAACCGCGUUUUUAAUUGAAAAUUUUAAAUUUUGAUUUUCUUAAACAACCUCGGAUGGAAAAACUCUCUAAAUAAACUUUGUAGAUCUCAAAAAGUUAUGAAACUUUGUAGUUGAUAACUUUUUGUUUUGAAAUCAUCUUGUCAUGCAAAAACUACAUUUUGAUUUACUUUUGAAAGGCUUCGUAGUGAUCCCUGUCGACCUUCCUUAGAAGUGGGUUAAGAGGCUGAUCACCUCGGGCGAAAGGGUAAAUCAUGACUCAUGGGUAAAGAUGUGCAACCUCUGCAGAGUGUUAAAAACUGGUAUACUAGCCGUGCUCACGAUCAAGAGCGGCCUUGGGGAUUCUUGCAUCGACGAUGAUGAUUCUUGUGUGUUAUAUAUGUUCAUUAUUUAUUAUUUAAUGCUCUAUAUUAUUUAUGUCACAUUGAUCAUGAGAUUGUUGGAGCUAUACAAUCUAGUUGCUAUACUUGUGGAGUUUGACAUGGACUCACUCUUGCUAUUUUCCCUAAACCUCAGGAGAAGUUUAGUCUUGUGAUCAACCAGUCAGUUGGAUCCUGUAGAGAGAAGUUAAUACCCGGAGUUUGGAGUUGUCUAUCCGAUGUUUGCUAUCAAAUGUUAUCUCUUUUAUAUUAUGUACGUUAUAUAAUUUAUGCAUUGUCUUUUGAUAUUACCCCUUAUUUGUAGCUAUAUGUGAGAUUUGGCUUCUAAGACUCACAUAUGGUGCAUAUCUGGUUUUGUUCUUAAAAUCGGGGAUUUUAAAGUGGUAUCAAAUGAAUGCUGGCUGUAGGACACAAGCCUAGUUAGAAAUUGGUCGUCUUAAGGUUUUAGAAUUAUCAUAAAAUCCUUGCUCUAAAAACCUUGAUAUUUUUAUCCAUACUAUAUCCCUAUCCUUGUUAUUUGUCUUUACCUUGUUGCUUAUUUUAAAAGUACUUGUUCUCACCUUCACUCCUUGAUUUGGUAUGCUAUUAGAACCUUUUCUUACCACCUUCUUGCGUCUUUGAAAUAUAAGUUUUAGAAUCUUUACCCUUACUAUGAAGACAACGAUAGUAUCGCAAGUUGAGUGAAGUGUGAACCUUUAAUGCUUAAUUGCUUGUUAUUAUGUUUAUGUUUGAUUUAGAUCUUUGUAAUGAGUUUAAUGAUUUUGUGAGUUCUUCACAAUUUCAUUUAGUUUAUAGAACUAAGGCAUAAGGAGCAAUGACAUAAGUAGUUGGGUUUGGUGAUAUCCUGUUUCUGUCCCUUGCUGACUUCUGGAGCAGUUAGCAAUAAUAUUGGUAUAUCUCAAGUUCUGAUCGUGCAAAAUUUAUCAGCAUUUUCUGGGAACAGCUAGACUCCAAGAUCUUGCUUUGACCUCAAGAAUGACCCCCAUAUCUAUUAUGGAAUUGGAGUUAUGAAAAUCACAAGUUGAUGCAGCUGCGCUGUCAAGAAUCUGUACCAGUUUCGGUUGCUUACUGUUUUAGACAUAUAUAACUACAGAAUUUGGAAAAGUAUUCUAUAGAAAAGUUAUAGACAAUUUGAUAAGCUUUCCAACGGUAUAAGCUACAACUUAUUUGGAUAAGUAGAACCUGAUAUAUUAUAUUUACAAUUGGAUGUCUCUGUUCUAUUUCUAAAAUCUGGACGGAUCUGGUAUUUCCCAUUUUUAGCCAAGUUAAAGACAGAAUCUGGCAAAAAGUUGUAUACGAAAGUUGUAGAGGAUCUUCUAAGCCUUUCAAAUAUGUAAGGAUCAUCUCCAGAUGAGUUAAGUAGCUCGAGAUAUAACUUCUGGAAGCUACUGCACCUUUGCUGAGACAUUUUCUGGAUGGAUAAUAUGUUUGGCUAUUUUACCUAAGCUUAAAGACAGAAUCUAAGGAGGUCUUCUACAUGAAAGUUGUGGUGAAUUUCAUAAGUUUUCUAAUGAUAUCAGCUAUAACCCCAUUGGAUUAACAGAAUGAGAGUGAUACCUGUUUUACUACGCUGGUGUUAUUAAUAUCGCGGGAAAAUUUCAGGAUACCAGUUUGUUCUCUUGCACAUAAGUUCUUUGGGAUGUCAGAAGUUCUCAAUGUUAGUUAACUAAUCUGGAAAAUAUGCGAGCUACCUUUCUUGUGUCCCCUAGUUGACAUUUACUAAGGGGGGUAGCCUAAAUAAAGAAGUUACAAGAGAAGAAGUGGUUAAUGACUGGAAUAUCUACAAGGACAUCAAGUGCUGGGUAGGUUGGUUUGUUUCAAGAUAUCAUUCUAUUUGGAGUGUGCUAAUACCAAUGGAGGUUUAUGUCAUUACUGAUACUCAUGGAUUUAGAGUUGUAUAUGAGGAUCAGAUGACACCAAAGUCUACAGAGUUGUUUGUAUAGUGUGAGAGUGAAGCAACUUAACUGUGAUAAAGGUACCGAUAAUUGGAACUUAUUGAUGAAACUAACCUUGGAUCAAGAGACUCGGUACAGCGAAUUUAAAAGACUAUAUGAUGUGUAGCGUCUAAAAAGGAUAGGAGAAAUAAGUUUAAAGAAGGAUCGUACCUACUACACUAGGUGUCUCGUCAAUAUUUUAGGAAUACUUGAGAGGCUACUUGGAGUAAGAGAGUGGAAUCAUUGCUAUGAAGAUAUAACUACUCAAGAAAGUGAACAAGAUUCAAAAUCUACGUCUCUUUGAUAAACGUCUUCCGAAUCUCGAGGACGAGAUUCAUCUUAAGGGGGUAGAAUUGUAACACCCUAAAAUUUACUCCUUUUGAAAUAUAUAUAAAAUUAUUUAAUUUUGUAUUUUUGUGUUUAUGAAAAUAUAGGAAAAACAAUAUUUUUCAUUAAAUUACAAUUUAUCAUCAGGCUUAGCAAUAUUAUUAUGCAUACAUGCUGCUGCAUAUGUUUGAUGUGAUGCUUGUUGCUCCUUUAUGUGUUGAUAGUAAGAAAAAUAUUUAAAAUACGUUUAGUAGAUCGAUCUUCCUUAUUCGGCACGUAUUUAUCUUUUAUCUACAACCAAAUUCCUUGUUUAUAAGCUCAAAUUUUUAUUAGGACCUUCCUAAAAUAUUUUCUUCGUCACUUAAAGCACUUCUUUUAGUUCCUCGUCCAUCAUGCACUCUCUACAAAUUUUUCGGGAAUUUUUUCAGCUUUUGUUCUCACUUUUCUGUGAGCAUGAUCUAAUUUUUUAGAUGCUCCAAACAAUCUUCUCAUGAGCUCCAAAAGCUUUAUUCGGCUUCCCCAUGUUCUAUAAUAUCUCUAAGAAUUUUUCCUGAAUUUUCGAAGCUUUCGGAGUAUUUUUCAUGGCUUAAAUCAUAAUUUUGUACUUUUCUAGGAUUAUUUUAUUCUCCAAAUUAAUUAAUUUCGAAAAUAAUAAAAUGUUUCAUUUUAUCUCACGCUCAAGCCCAUGAUCUCAAUGGUCAAUGUAUUUAUUUACUAAUGGGCUUUAAUAGUUAAUUAGGCCUAUUAGUAAAGAUGAAGGUUGCAAAUUAAUUAGUACCAUAUCGCUAGUUGACGUGGAGGUGGGGAGUUUUUCUCCCCUAUAUAUAUAUACCAACCCCUUAGGCAAAGCACAUCAAAGACAAUCAUAUGGGAAGCCUCUAAUUUGAGAAUUCCUAAGGUAGUAAAAUAAAAUUUAUAUUUUCUUCUCUACAACGUGAUCGCCAUCGUCUCGCCUAUACACGACAUCUACGAACGGUCGGCUGCUCCGGCGUUGUUGUAGCUCCAAGAAAGCGUCACUGCCGGUGAACCUACUCCCUGUCCACCAACGUAAGCCCCAGUCACUUUAUCUUUCAGUUUGGAAAAUACAAACAGCUCGGUUUUAGAUUAAAAAUAUGUUUUCACUAUUUACACAAUUGCCACUGACUUUCUUUUGGCCAUAAAAUAUUCAUUUUAACUACGAUUUGACUUAUUCAAAUUGCGUUAGGUUCGUUUUAAUGAGCUCUACAUGUUAGUAACAUUGUUUUCUCAGUUUGAAACUUUUUAUUUUCAUGACCCUAAUUAAUUAAUUACUUUUCUAUAUAAAAUCUUAGAAAAUUCAUAAAUUCUCCGUUUUAGCUCCGAUUUCGUAAUCUUUACGUCUAUGAUAUCAUAGCGCUGCGUAGAAUCUUUUUACGAACUCUAUAUACUGUUUUUAUAUGAUUGGUGUACUGUUCUAAUCGUAGUCUUGUUUGCUUUGUGUAUGUUUGUCUUCGAUUGUUAUGUGUUGGUGAUCGAUGAUCGAGUUUAGACGUUGAGCAAUCUGUGGUGAACAAGAGUGCUUCAGUGAUCAAGAUCACAGCCUUGGACAACUUGCAAGAUUAGCAAGAGCAUUUGGAUCAAGGCAAGUGUAGCAUUUGGGUUUUAUUUCUGUGACCAUGAUCUUGUGACCAGAUUAAUGUUAAGUAAUAAAUGAUAAAAAUGACUUUUUAGCCACUUGAUGAUUUAUCUGUAAGUGAUAACUGGGACAACAGUGCAACCAUGAGGGCUUUAAUGGCUCUGGCUUUAGCUCAGUAUGGAGACCUUUUCUAGCUUGUUAGAGGUUACCCGAAAGGGCAGAGGGGCUGAACCGUUUUGGGUAUAGUGUGGCCUCUGUCUGUAUGUGUAUAGGCUGCGCGUCAUUGUGCCAUCGGAAGGAGGGCACUAUAUCUGCACGCAAAGGAAACCUUGCGGCCCUAACAGGUUAGAUGAACUUUUGAAAGGCUUCAUAGUGAUCCCUGUUGUCACACCCAUAUUUUAAGAACAAAAUAGGAUACAUAAAAGACUCAUAUGUGCCCCAGAAACAGUCGCACACAUAAGUAGACAAAUAUUAAAUGUACCAUUGCAGUGUUCAUUACAAAUUGGAAUAUAAUAUAUCACAUAGUCUCAUACGAAAUGAUAGCAUAAAAUAAACAACGCUCUCGACGGAAGCUCCACACAGGGACACUGUUGACUGGUUGACUCCAAACCUAAUACUCAUAGCGAUAAUCCUCAUUCCAAUCAUCAUCAUUAGCAUAACCUGGGGUGUUGGGAAAUUGCAAGAGUGAGCACAUAUCGUACUCAACAAGUAUAACCAGGGGUUCAUGAGGCUCAAAUAGCUGACACUGGUUUGACCGCAUUUAGGUUUUAAUGGUGGAUAGCAUGUUUGAAACGACCUAGACUUUUCCAAAAAGGGAAAAAUCCACAGAUUCGAAUUAUAAUGUGAUAAUUCAAAAAUUGAACCAUCUCAUUAUCAUAUAUGAGCUGUUAUCAUAGUCAUACAUCGUGAGAAACAAAAUUACAACACAUUUACUUUACAACUCUUGGUCAACAAGCCUAUUACAUCGUUUUUCUAGCAGAAACACACACGGGUCUUUAUCAGGGUCGAUGUACGUGUCAGCGGUGAAGGCUCCUCCUUCACGGGCAAACAUCACAGUCGGCGUAGUUUAUCAGCGGGCGUAGUCUUCAUCUUUGAACCAAACUUGAGCGCAGGAGCGAGACCACCUAAUCCUUCUAUUCUCCGUAGUUAUCGUCAUGGACCACGUUCAAAACCUACUAAACAACUUUUAGUACGAUUUGUACUGGCCACUGGCACCCACCCUAUGCUUUUGCGUAAGCUUUGUGGUAAGUGGAAUGCAAAAGGUAGAUCAAGAGGCCUGUAUAUAUAGCCGUAGUUUUUCCUAUGCAAGUUCGUCAAUAUUUAAUAAUAAUAAUUCAUCAAAUUUUAUUCCAUCUCUUCCACACAUCCAUCCAUCCAUCCCAUCACACACAUCUCACCACACUCUCACUCUCUAGGCGGCAAGUACGACUCCCACUCGUGCCUUGCCUCAACGGCCAACGCCGGAUCCAACACAAACCCAGGGGAAGGUAGAAAGGACUCCUCUCUCUAGUCAAGUGAAGCUGUACUUAGGAAAGGUCUAUAGCCGACGAAUCGGCGUAUGUAUCGAUCGAUCAACCAAACUCUACAGAGGUUUGCACUAACCACAAGAUCACCAUCAUCGACGAAUCGGCGUAUGUAUCGAUCGAUCAACCAAACUCUGAUUUUGGGCUGCCUUCCAACUAAACAUGAUGCCACCCUACCACUCAGAACUGGAACCAUACCGGAGUACCACCGGUACGCUGAGACUGUGAGACGUAGUACCGAGCCCCAAAGGUCACUAUGCUGUCUUAGGAGGGUGUGGGUCCUCAUGCCCGUACCUCCCUACACUAUCCGCUAACAACCUAGUAGUAGUGGCACCGCCCUAGCUGGUCGUACAUCCGUCUCCUCCCCAUAAGAGCGAGUGGGGUGCAAGGCUUCCUAAGACCCGGUCCACAGAACAUAUCAGUCCUUAGGGUGACCAAACAGGACAUCUUCACAAGGGGCCAACCGAUGCACCGCUCGACGGGACAUCCGGUUACCCCGUGCUAAACAGCACCUCCCAUCCUGGUGCUUCGUCCCACGAAGACACUCCACUCCGAGACCUCUCCCUGUCACAUGUACCCGCCAUAGGUAUCUCUCAUGGAGAACGCCCAGGUAGCGUUCCCCGGCAUGACUUGUCCCAAGACUCGUCGUAGAUCCUGCUCGGUCGACUCAAACCUCACCACACACCCAAGACACACGCCGAGAUCUCCCCAAAUCCAUUACCAUCUCAUUAUCCAUUUAUUGGCACCACGUGCCUUAUCCACUCACAUCCAAUCCUCCACAAUGCAUCACAUCACAGAUAUAAUGCAUAGUAGAAGCUGUAGCAAGUGGUAUGCAAGCAUCUAGGCUAACAGCGGGUGUGCGAGGGUUAUAGGUUGCAACAAGGCAAUGGCUCACAAGCAUUUCUACCAUGCAACCUAUCACAGUUCAUUUGCAUAAAAGUAAAGCACUAGUAUCUACAUUAUUACAUGUCUAAUAGGAUUCUAUGAGGUUGGGUGGGACGUGGCACUUGUUUAGUGACAUUUCCAAGAUCCACAGUGCACUUGUAGUCGUUCUCAUCCAAGGUCUUUCUUCUAUCUGCAUGUCCUUUCUCCAACAGGUCCCGAUCCGAUCAACGCAAUUCUCGAAGCAACUACCUCGAAAGCGACAAACAAGGCAAACAAUCAGACCACUAGACCUAGAAAGACUACGAAGGGAGGCGACAGAACACCAAAGAACAACUACAUAAUGGAGUACCUAAAGGAUAAUGACUUAGCCCUCUCGAAGGAUGUCCGAUCCCUGGGCUAAAAAGAAAUAGGAAUCGCUGUUCACUAAGUACAAGUCAGAGUCUUAGCCUAGCCGGUACUUCCCGGGUCAACUGGGUCAACCUGUACGGCUUUAAUAAAUGGCUUAGACUCUAACUCAUUCUAAGCAAACACCACAGCUUACGGUCUUUCGAUCCGAGUGUCAAAGAGAUCGACGGGAAUCAAAAAGACUACGAGUACGAGAAGUUCCGGUCUCUCUCAAUCCAUACGCCAUUGUAGUUGGCGAGAGCCAAGAGAGGGUGGAACAAGGAGAGAAGAAAAGGGAAGUGGUCUACUCCUUCCAAUCCACUCGCCAUGGUAAGAGACGGGGAAAUCAGAAAGAGUGACGCACAAAGAACACAAGUGCUCAAACUACUUGUAGGGUACCACAACCUAGGUGCACUAAAUGCACUAAGACAUCACUAAGGUUCUUAGCGGUGCGGUUGUCACCAUGAGAACCAAAGAAAUGCUACAGUCGAUAUAGGUACAAGCAUACAAGAGUUUUAACACGAAGAACCAAAAAGGCGGGAAAAGACACGGGAUUCACCUUCCUUUGAUCCUCUCACCAUAGCAACGGUGGGAAUCAUAGAAAUGGAAUCAAAACACCAAGCAAGCGAAGGGGCAAUCCCACAUCUUACUGGAUCGACGGGGAUUGAGAACAAUAGAGAAGAAGAAUGAUGGAGUCCAUGUUCUUUCGACCCAACUCAUCAUGGAACGAACGACAGUUGGAUAAAAAGUGAUAUGACCCCACGAUCCAACCCUACUCGUAGGGUACCACGACUGUGCAACUUAAUCGGCACGAGGCUAUUCCUUAGGACCGUAGCGAUGCGGUUGUCACCACUAGGUUCGAGGGAAUGCUCUAGUCAGGAUGGUACAAGCAUACGAGGUGGUUAGGAUAAACACCUGAGAAAUGGGGUAAAGCCCGGUGGUCAUGGCAAGGUAGACUUGCGACCAUGAGCUUCACCUAACGAGUUGGCCUCCGACAAUUCCACGAAGGUUGUCCCCUAAUUCGUAUCCCACUAGACUAAGUCACAAAGGCCUCGAGUGUGUGAGUGAGAACCGUGUCGAUAACGACAUCAAGUCCAUGGUGACCACGUCUGAGGGACAGGAACAAGAGCUAACGACCGUGGCACGACGGAGUCAACUAAACACGGGGAAACGAGUGAUGCUCGACAUCGCGAUCAUAGCGGGACGUACCCACGAUCGAAAUGAUCAAAUGUACUAUGAUUUCGCCGACCGGCUCGAAGGCAAGGUCCACAGACGACAGCACACACACACACUCAAGAACCAACGCACAAAGAACCACAUUGCCAUGACCAACACAAAGGCAAAAUGGAGUAGCACAUUUCCAUAGCGACCAACAGAGAUAGAUAAACAGAUGGAUAAAUAGACCGGCACGAAGGCACGACACAGGCAUAUGAUACAUAGAUCAUGUGAAAGGUGUACGACAUGUAUGAACGAUGAUAGAAAGAUGUACAAAAGCAAAAGGGGUUUUUCGUCGGCGUCGACUAGGGUUCGACCUUGGUGGCGAGGAUGGCGGAGGGCUUCUAUAUCUUGGUCACGGCUUGUUGCAGGUGGCCGGGGUGCUUGUCGUGUUCAGUUGGUGCUGUAGCAAUGGAAAAGGCACAGCCUUGGUCGGCAACUGUUGGGUCUUCUUAACAUCAUUACCAAAAGUAGACAGUUUUCUAAUUCUAGUAACAGUGCCAAAAAUGCCAAACCUAUCCCUCAUACCACUUAAGCCAAGUUGUCAUCCCCAGCAUGACAUGAGAGACGCGGUAUUGAAAUAUGCAAUUGCUCUUCUAAAUAAAUAAUGAAUGAGAUCUGCAAGCGCACAAAUUAAUACCGAUAUAGCAUUUUAACCAGGAAGUAUUCCAGGUAUCGUUAUUUAUAUUUUUACCACUGGGAAGGGAUUAGCAAUCAUCAAUAUUGAUUACAGAAUAGAAUAUGAGAUUGAGUAUCUAUCAUUGCAUAUAUAAUUGAGAACAUUUAUCUAACUCUUUCAUACAGGGAUAAGUGUCACAUAAAGGAUAUAUAAAGUAAUGAAUAGUGACAAAGAUAAUUAAUCUGAUCAGCAUAACUUAGCCACAUAUAAAUAUGAUAAGCACCUCAAUUAGAUAUUCUAGAAAGUCAUUAGCAUGGAAUUAGAACGAACUACAAGAAUAUUUCCUAAGUUAUUCUCAACUAUACAGUCUAGCAUUAUCAUAGUUAGUGCAAGCAUACUUAGCAAUCAUUAUGAGACAAGACUACGCCCAUGCAUAGUGAUAUUAGCAAGGUAAAUGAGAAACAUAGCAAUCACUCCCCUGUAAUAAUGUUGCUCUGCCAGCCCAAUAAAUGAGAGGGGGACUAUAUAAGAAUCAAUGAAGCUGUCACUAUCACGAACUACCCCACGAUCUGGCAUAUUGGGUACAAUCGCAGAUAAAUACGGUAUAAGCACCACGCCUACACAAUAUCUAUCAUUUACCCAUGGAUCCGAUGGAUAAACGCUAUAUGAUCCUAAACAUGUAUAUAGAUCCAAUAUAACUAAGCCAAGUAUAUAACUAUGAUAAACUAAGAACAAUAUAAUCUUGAAUAUAAACAAGUAGAGCAAAGUCAUAAGCAAUAUAUUGAAGUAGAACAAAGUCAUAUUCAUAAUAUUGAAGAACAAAGAUGAUUAGAAGAACAAUUAGAAGCACAAUUAGAGAAUUACCAAGAAUCCUCUUGACAGAUCCGGAAACCAAUCGAAGAUUGACUCCUAGUUCUAAUCCUAUGUAGCUAUGCUAAUCUAGAUGUCUAAUUGAUGUGGUGGCUCUAAUCUUGAUCAGGGGCUUCUUCUCCCUUAAGAAUAAUGAAUUAGGUUUGAGAGGCUCUCUCCUCCAGGGGCCAGGGGGUCUGGUUUUAUAGUCCCUUCAAGUGAAUAUGGGCCGUUGGAUCAAACCGACAUAGAUUGAACGGUUAUCCUUGAUCAUUUAGGUCGGGGGAGAUCUUCCCCGAAACAGAGUCCUGAUUGGACUCAGCAGGAGGGCGGGCUCCCAGGGCAAUUGGGCGGGCGCCCAGUGCCUGGCCCCGUUCGGCCUCCGCUUUCUUCCCAUGGCUUCUAGAGUCUUCUAGAUGUAAGAUAAUUGCGCGGCACGUUAAUAUCUCUAUGUAAUCCCGACGUGUGGGCCUUUCUUCCGUAUUUCCUGAUAACCCCCUACAGAAAUAGACAAACACCAAAACUCGUGGAAUUCUAUCAGAUAAAACCCUAAGUCUAGAUGUUGAUUUCAUUUGGAUCCUUUUCUUUGUUUAUUUGAUAAUUAAAUUUGAUACUUAAGGACCGUCAGCAAACUCCCCCAAGCUUACCUCUUGCUCGUCCCUGAGCAAGGAUAGACUCAGUGAUGGAUCAGAAGUUACUGCAAUACUUUUAAAAAUUGACAGUACACAUGCUUUUAAAUAAGAUCUGAUCUCUGAGUUAGAGUAAACUGUCAAGACUUAAAACUUACUUACUUUACCUUUCACCAUGGGACUUGUAACCGUCACUUCUGUCUUGAGUAGUUAAAAGAUAGAACAGUCUAGUCAAGUGCCACGUCUCUUAUUCUUGAUCAGCUAUAGCUCUGGAGUCUUUGCAGAUUUUCAAAUAAAACUCAGAGAUUCCUUGUAUGACUCUGUCAAAUCUCUCUUUUGUGAUAUUUCUGGAUCCUUACCAAGGCAGUGAUGGUAUAUGCGUUCUCUCAUUGCCUUCUCUCUCUCACCCUACUCUAAUAAGGCUUUAAUAUCUUGAGCUCAUAGGUGGGAGAUAAAAUAUACAUACUUACAAGACAUUUAUUGCAUAGUCAAACCAUGGAUCCAAAGUAACAAGUCAAUAAGUCAAAUCAAGAUGUGCAUGUGUGGCGAAUGAAUGGUAUAUGGUGAUGAUGGUGAUAACAAUGGUGGAAGUCUAAUUCUAGUUUUGCUCUUUUGAGGGGAUACAUACCUUCCUUGCUCUUUGAAAUUUUGUGAGGAGAAUGAGAUGCUCUGUAUUUUCUUUUUCUUUCCUCUCAGGUGGGUAUCUUGUACCCCUAAUUCUACUGUCGGACACUUGUCCAUUUUUACCUCUCGUCUCACUUUUUCUUCUCUUUCGAGGUUCCGGGCACUUGCCCCUUUUUAUUUCCUCGUAUACUUUUUUCUUUCUUCUUUUUUUCAGAGCACUCAUCUCUUGAGAUAAUAUAGCAAGUGGUCGUAACAAGAUAACUUGAGCAUUUAUUUCACAAGGGAAAAACAGAAAUAUUUUUGGUUAUUCUCUCCCGAAUUAGGAGUAGAAUAUUUUUGGGUGAUUCUGGAGAUGGAAAUGGGUGGAUAUAUGUGGAUGGUACUUCCAGAGUAGAAGUAGAAUAUAUGAGUGAACGUGCAAGUGAAUCUUGAUUUAACCACAUGACAAGCUCCUAAGGGUCUACACAGCUUGACCACACUCAAUGCUCAUAAGCAGUAAAUAGUAAAUGUGUGGCUCAAAGUCUAGCAAGCAUGUAUAUAUUACUGUGGUAGGAAUUUAAACUCUCAUCACAUAGGAUCUCAUCAUGCAAUAUUUUAAAGAUUUUUUAAAGAUAAAAUUCUCCAGAAUUCUAGCAUCUCUAGGAACAGAUAAACAGCAGCUCAACCUUCCCAUAUCAUAUCCGUUAACAACUUAGACUUCAGAUCAAGUUUUCUUCCCACAAGUUUAGGUUUAGGGCAAUCUUUAAAUUAUAAUAGUUAUGUCUAAACUUGAGAGAGAACUUAAAAUUUUCAAAUUAGGCAGAGCAAUUAUUCAUCAUAUCCAUGCUAGAGUUUUAUUUAGAUACAGAUUAGCAUAGCCACUUUAUUUAUUUAUUAAACACACUAAGCAAAGAUAUAUAUAUAAGCACAAGAUCUUUAUUUGUUUUUUCAUAAUUAUGUAUAUAUAGUAUAAGUAUAAAGAUAGAUAGAAAUACUUAUCGAGAUGAAUGGGGGUGCUCUCCCCCAAGCUGGAUUUUGACGUAAUUUCUCUUGAUGUAGCUAGCAGGUGGCAGAGGUGUAUUUGAAAGUUAGCAGCAUUCUGACAGCGAUUAGAAUGUCCUCUGUCUACUAGUCUUCUUGAUUCUUUGAUUCUGUGGAGCUCAAAUAGACAACAAAGCUUUGUGGAACUGAUUAAGUGUUAGCAAAAAUAUCUAGCCUUUAUCAUGUUGAGACUCCUUAAUAAAUAUUACUCCUUAUUUUUAUAUUUUCAUUUUUAUAGAGCAGAAAAAUAUUUAUUUUGUUUUUGUGCCACCACAGUGAAUGUACUUAAGGGUUUUAUGCCACUCGUCUACUCACAUGGGGCUUACUGUUUUUCAAAAUUUUUAUUUUGUUUUUAGGAUAGUAUAAAUAUAACUAAUUAAGUAAACUAUUUUAAAUAAUUGAAAGAGAAAGGAUAACUACCAAAUUUACCUCUUGGCAAGGCGUUCGGUGUUUUUAAGUCCUCCGAACGGGACUCUUCUCUUUCUCAAUUGUCCUGGGAUUCGUUGGGUGGCGGAGUCGGUACUUCCGGCAGCGCCUCUUUGAAAGGUCCAAAUGGCUAGAGGGGGGGUGAAUAGCCUAUUUAAAAAUUCUACAAACUAUAACUAGACAAGUUGAUUAGUAAAACAAAAGGCGAAGCUAUUCUAGCAAUAGCACAACUAAGCUAUGCAAGCCACCUACACAAGUCUAGCAAGAAAGCUAAACACUAGUUACAACAAGAAAGCACAACUAGAAGCUUGCUACACUCCUAAACAAGAUAGCUAAGCUAAACAAGCUACACAACUAGCAAGGUAGGCACAUAAGUAAAGGAGAGGUGAGUGAUUGUUAUACCA